rnacentral:rRNA from 1 species
UCGAGAAUCAUUCGCAAUGGGCGCAAGCCUGACGAUGCGACGCCGUGUGAGCGAAGAAGGCCUUAGGGUCGUAAAGCUCUUUCGCCUGGGAACAAGAGAGGUUAACUAAUACUUAGCUAAUUUGAGGGUACCAGGUAAAGAAGCACCGGCUAACUCCGUGCCAGCAGCUGCGGUAAUACGGAGGGUGCAAGCAUUAAUCGGAUUUAUUGGGCGUAAAGGGCGCGUAGGCGGAAGAGAAAGUCAGAUGUGAAAUUUUGGGGCUCAACCUCAAAGCUGCAUUUGAAACUUCUCAUCUAGAGGAUAGGCGGAGAAAACGGAAUUCCACAAGUAGCGGUGAAAUGCGUAGAUAUGUGGAAGAACACCGGUGGCGAAGGCGGUUUUCUAGCUUAUUCCUGACGCUGAAGCGCGAAAGCAAGGGGAUCAAACAG